UACCAGCACCCCGAGUGGUCGGGACGAUUAUUGGGCCUAAAGCAUCCGUAGCCGGUUCUACAAGUCUUCCGUUAAAUCCACCUGCUUAACAGAUGGGCUGCGGAGGAUACUAUAGAGCUAGGAGGCGGGAGAGGCAAGCGGUACUUAGUGGGUAGGGGUAAAAUCCGUUGAUCCAUUGAAGACCACCAGUGGCGAAGGCGGCUUACCAGAACGCACUCGACGGUGAGGGAUGAAAGCUGGGGGAGCAAACCGG
rnacentral:rRNA from 1 species